AACGAACGCUGGCGGCAGGCUUAACACAUGCAAGUCGAGCGCCCCGCAAGGGGAGCGGCAGACGGGUGAGUAACGCGUGGGAACGUACCCUUUGCUACGGAAUAGCUCCGGGAAACUGGAAUUAAUACCGUAUGUGCCCUACGGGGGAAAGAUUUAUCGGCAAAGGAUCGGCCCGCGUUGGAUUAGCUAGUUGGUGGGGUAAUGGCCUACCAAGGCGACGAUCCAUAGCUGGUCUGAGAGGAUGAUCAGCCACAUUGGGACUGAGACACGGCCCAAACUCCUACGGGAGGCAGCAGUGGGGAAUAUUGGACAAUGGGGGCAACCCUGAUCCAGCCAUGCCGCGUGAGUGAUGAAGGCCUUAGGGUUGUAAAGCUCUUUCACCGGGGAAGAUAAUGACGGUACCCGGAGAAGAAGCCCCGGCUAACUUCGUGCCAGCCGCCGCAGUAACAC
rnacentral:rRNA from 1 species